rnacentral:rRNA from 1 species
GAUGAACGCUGGCGGCGUGCCUAAUACCUGCCAGUCGAGCGAAGCGGGGCCGGGUGAGUAACACGUGGAUAACCUCCUAUCAGUUUGGGAUAACUUCGGGAAACCGGAGCUAAACCGGAUCCUUUUCGAUGGAUCCGCGCUGCAUUAGCUAGUUGGUAAGGUAACGGCUAACCCAGGCAACGAUGCAUAGCCGACCUGAGAGGGUGAUCGGCCACACUGGAACGCAGACACGGUCCAGCCUCCUACGGGAGGCAGCAGUAGGGAAUCUUCCGAAAUGGGCGAAAGCCUUACGGAGCAACGCCGCGUGAGUGAUGAAGGUCUUCGGAUCGGAAAACUCUGUUAUUAGGGAAGCGGUACCUAAUCAGAAAGCCACGGCUAACUACGUGCCAGCAGCCGCGGUAAUAC